rnacentral:rRNA from 1 species
AUGGAUGUGAAGAGUGCAUUUCUCAACGGCAAGAUUGAAGAAGAAGUGUAUGUAGCUCAACCACCUGGCUUUGAAGAUCCAAAACAUCCUGAUAUGGUGUACAAGCUAAACAAAGCACUGUAUGGCCUCAAACAAGCUCCUCGCGCAUGGUAUGAUACGAUCAAAGACUUCCUGAAGAGCAAAGGCUUCAAACCAGGAUCCCUCGAUCCCACACUCUUCACAAAGACAUAUGAUGGUGAACUGUUUGUGUGCCAAAUAUAUGUGGAUGACGUAAUCUUCGGCUGCACCAACCAGAAGUAUAGUGAUGAGUUUGGGUACAUGAUGCAAGAGCAAUAUUAG